CGAAUGCUGACAUAAGUAACGAUAAAGCGGGUGAAAAGCCCGCUCGCCGGAAGACCAAGGGUUCCUGUCCAACGUUAAUCGGGGCAGGGUGAGUCGACCCCUAAGGCGAGGCCGAAAGGCGUAGUCGAUGGGAAACAGGUUAAUAUUCCUGUACUUGGUGUUACUGCGAAGGGGGGACGGAGAAGGCUAUGUUGGCCGGGCGACGGUUGUCCCGGUUUAAGCGUGUAGGCUGGUUUUCCAGGCAAAUCCGGAAAAUCAAGGCUGAGGCGUGAUGACGAGGCACUACGGUGCUGAAGCAACAAAUGCCCUGCUUCCAGGAAAAGCCUCUAAGCAUCAGGUAACAUCAAAUCGUACCCCAAACCGACACAGGUGGUCAGGUAGAGAAUACCAAGGCGCUUGAGAGAACUCGGGUGAAGGAACUAGGCAAAAUGGUGCCGUAACUUCGGGAGAAGGCACGCUGAUAUGUAGGUGAAGUCCCUCGCGGAUGGAGCUGAAAUCAGUCGAAGAUACCAGCUGGCUGCAACUGUUUAUUAAAAACACAGCACUGUGCAAACACGAAAGUGGACGUAUACGGUGUGACGCCUGCCCGGUGCCGGAAGGUUAAUUGAUGGGGUCAGCGCAAGCGAAGCUCUUGAUCGAAGCCCCGGUAAACGGCGGCCGUAACUAUAACGGUCCUAAGGUAGCGAAAUUCCUUGUCGGGUAAGUUCCGACCUGCACGAAUGGCGUAAUGAUGGCCAGGCUGUCUCCACCCGAGACUCAGUGAAAUUGAACUCGCUGUGAAGAUGCAGUGUACCCGCGGCAAGACGGAAAGACCCCGUGAACCUUUACUAUAGCUUGACACUGAACAUUGAGCCUUGAUGUGUAGGAUAGGUGGGAGGCUUUGAAGUGUGGACGCCAGUCUGCAUGGAGCCGACCUUGAAAUACCACCCUUUAAUGUUUGAUGUUCUAACGUUGACCCGUGAUCCGGGUUGCGGACAGUGUCUGGUGGGUAGUUUGACUGGGGCGGUCUCCUCCUAAAGAGUAACGGAGGAGCACGAAGGUUGGCUAAUCCUGGUCGGACAUCAGGAGGUUAGUGCAAUGGCAUAAGCCAGCUUGACUGCGAGCGUGACGGCGCGAGCAGGUGCGAAAGCAGGUCAUAGUGAUCCGGUGGUUCUGAAUGGAAGGGCCAUCGCUCAACGGAUAAAAGGUACUCCGGGGAUAACAGGCUGAUACCGCCCAAGAGUUCAUAUCGACGGCGGUGUUUGGCACCUCGAUGUCGGCUCAUCACAUCCUGGGGCUGAAGUAGGUCCCAAGGGUAUGGCUGUUCGCCAUUUAAAGUGGUACGCGAGCUGGGUUUAGAACGUCGUGAGACAGUUCGGUCCCUAUCUGCCGUGGGCGCUGGAGAACUGAGGGGGGCUGCUCCUAGUACGAGAGGACCGGAGUGGACGCAUCACUGGUGUUCGGGUUGUCAUGCCAAUGGCACUGCCCGGUAGCUAAAUGCGGAAGAGAUAAGUGCUGAAAGCAUCUAAGCACGAAACUUGCCCCGAGAUGAGUUCUCCCUGACCCUUUAAGGGUCCUGAAGGAACGUUGAAGACGACGACGUUGAUAGGCCG
rnacentral:rRNA from 1 species